rnacentral:lncRNA from 1 species
CUGAAUUAGUUCAUUACAAAAGUCAUGAAUAUAAUAGUGUGCAAAUUACAUUCACUUAAACUUUAGUGCACAGACCGAACCUGCCUGAACCCAGCUGUGUGUCCAUGAAGAGAGACUGGUCAAUGGAUCCUCCACGUAACUUUAAUGAACACACUGAUCUUGGAUUUAGUUUGGUCCAGAUGCAAAGACCAAAGUUAUCUAAUCCCAGCUGUGUGCCCAUGAGGAGUGUCUGGUCAGUGGAUCCACCACAUAACUUAAGUGGACACAAAGAUCCUAUGUUUAGGUAAGCAUACACUAAACCAUUUAUCUUAUGACAU